rnacentral:lncRNA from 1 species
CUGAUGGGGUUAGGGUGAGGUGUAGUCUGGUAUAGAUGUCUGUAGCUGAUGGGGUGAGGUGUAGUCUGGUAUAGAUGUCUGUAGCUGAUGGGGUGAGGUGUAGUCUGGUAUAGAUGUCUGUAGCUGAUGGGGUUAGGGUGAGGUGUAGUCUGGUAUAGAUGUCUGUAGCUGAUGGGGUGAGGUGUAGUCUGGUAUAGAUGUCUGUAGCUGAUGGGGUGAGGUAUAGUCUGGUAUAGAUGUCUGUAGCUGAUGGGGUGUGGUGUAGUCUGGUAUAGAUGUCUGUAGCUGAUGGGGUGAGGUGUAGUCUGGUAUAGAUGUCUGUAGCUGAUAGGGUGAGGUGUAGUCUGGUAUAGAUGUCUGUAGCUGAUGGGGUGAGGUGUGGUCUGGUAUAGUUGUCUGUAGCUGAUAGGGUGAGGUGUAGUCUGGUACAGAUGUCUGUAGCUGAUGGGGUGAGGU